rnacentral:rRNA from 1 species
GACGAACGCUGGCGGCGUGCUUAACACAUGCAAGUCGAACGGAAAGGCCUGCUUUCCCUUGUGGAUUGCGGGUACUCGAGUGGCGAACGGGUGAGUAACACGUGAGUGAUCUGCCCCCAACUUGGGUAUAAGCCUGGGAAACUGGGUCUAAUUCCCGAUAGGACUGCAGGGUGGUGCCUGUGGUGGAAAACGAGUUUCUAGUGGUUGGGGAUGAGCUCGCGGCCUAUCAGCUUGUUGGUGGGGUAAUGGCCUACCAAGGCGGCGACGGGUAGCCGGCCUGAGAGGGUGGACGGCCACAUUGGGACUGAGUCACGGCCCAGACUCCUACGGGCGGCAGCAGUGGUGACUAUUGCGCAAUGGGCGGAAGCCUGAUGCAGCGACGCCGCGUGGGGGAUGACGGCCUUCGGGUUGUAAGCUCCUUUCGACCGCGAGGAAGCCACCUGGUUGGAAGGGUGGUGACGGUAGUGGUAGAAGAAGCACCGGCUAACUACGUG